AUUGAACGCUGGCGGCAGGCCUAACACAUGCAAGUCGGGCGAGCGGCGGACGGGUGAGUAAUGUAUGGGGAUCUGCCUGAUGGCGGGGGAUAACUACUGGAAACGGUAGCUAAUACCGCAUACCAUCAGAUGAACCCAUAUGGGAUUAGCUAGUAGGUGAGGUAACGGCUUACCUAGGCGACGAUCCCUAGCUGGUCUGAGAGGAUGAUCAGACCCGAUGCGACUGACAGACGGCCAAGAAACCUACGGGAGGGAGCAGUGGCGAAAAUUGCACAAUGGGCGGAAGCCUGAUGCAGCGACGCCGCGAGGGGGAUGAAGGUUUGCGGGUUGUAAAGCGAUUUGGAUAGCGAAGGGGUAGGUGGAGAAGAAGCGCCGGCUAACUACGUGCCAGCAGCCGCGGUAAUAC
rnacentral:rRNA from 1 species